rnacentral:rRNA from 1 species
CCACUCAGUACCGACGUACUGGAUGUAGCGGACGCCUAUUCGCCCUUGGAUCCUGACUUUGAUUCUGGUCCAGGAUGAACGCUGGCGGCGUGCCUAACACAUGCAAGUCGAACGGAAUUUACAUGAAGCCUAGCGAUUGUAAAUUUAGUGGCGGACGGGUGAGUAACGCGUGGGUAACCUGCCUUGUACUGGGGGACAACAGUUGGAAACGACUGCUAAUACCGCAUAAUGUAUUCUGACCGCAUGAUCGGAAUACCAAAGAUUUAUUGCUGAAAGAUGGCCUCGCGUCUGAUUAGAUAGUUGGUGAGGUAACGGCCCACCAAGUCAACGAUCAGUAGCCGGACUGAGAGGUUGAACGGCCACAUUGGGACUGAGAUACGGCCCAGACUCCUACGGGAGGCAGCAGUGGGGAAUAUUGGGCAAUGGGGGAAACCCUGACCCAGCAACGCCGCGUGAAGGAAGAAGGCUUUCGGGUUGUAAACUUCUUUUACCAGGGACGAAGGACGUGACGGUACCUGGAGAAAAAGCCACGGCUAACUACGUGCCAGCAGCCGCGGUAAUACGUAGGUGGCAAGCGUUGUCCGGAUUUACUGGGUGUAAAGGGCGUGUAGGCGGAGAAGCAAGUCAGAAGUGAAAUCCAUGGGCUUAACCCAUGAACUGCUUUUGAAACUGUUUCCCUUGAGUAUCGGAGAGGCAGGCGGAAUUCCUAGUGUAGCGGUGAAAUGCGUAGAUAUUAGGAGGAACACCAGUGGCGGAGGCGGCCUGCUGGACGACAACUGACGCUGAGGCGCGAAAGCGUGGGGAGCAAACAGGAUUAGAUACCCUGGUAGUCCACGCUGUAAACGAUGAAUACUAGGUGUGGGAGGACUGACCCCUUCCGUGCCGCAGUUAACACAAUA